GAUGAAGAACGCAGCGAAAUGCGAUAAGUAAUGUGAAUUGCAGAAUUCAGUGAAUCAUCGAGUCUUUGAACGCACAUUGCGCCCCCUGGUAUUCCGGGGGGCAUGCCUGUCCGAGCGUCAUUGCUGCCCUCAAGCACGGCUUGUGUGUUGGGCCCCCGCCCCCCGGUCCCGGGGGGCGGGCCCGAAAGGCAGCGGCGGCACCGCGUCCGGUCCUCGAGCGUAUGGGGCUUUGUCACCCGCUCUGUAGGCCCGGCCGGCGCCCGCCGGCGACCCCAAUCAAUCUUUUUCAGGUUGACCUCGGAUCAGGUAGGGAUACCCGCUGAACUUAAGCAUAUCAAUAAGCGGAGGA
rnacentral:misc_RNA from 1 species